rnacentral:rRNA from 1 species
AACGCUAGCUACAGGCUUAACACAUGCAAGUCGAGGGGAAACGAUAUUGGAAGCUUGCUUCCGAUAGGCGUCGACCGGCGCACGGGUGAGUAACGCGUAUCCAACCUGCCCACCACUUGGGAAUAACCUUGCGAAAGUAAGACUAAUGCCCAAUGAUAUCUCUAGAAGACAUCUGAAAGAGAUUAAAGAUUUAUCGGUGAUGGAUGGGGAUGCGUCUGAUUAGCUUGUUGGCGGGGUAACGGCCCACCAAGGCAACGAUCAGUAGGGGUUCUGAGAGGAAGGCCCCCCACAUUGGAACUGAGACACGGUCCAAACUCCUACGGGAGGCAGCAGUGAGGAAUAUUGGUCAAUGGGCGAGAGCCUGAACCAGCCAAGUAGCGUGCAGGAAGACGGCCCUAUGGGUUGUAAACUGCUUUUAUAAGGGAAUAAAGUGAGCCUCGUGAGGCUUUUUGCAUGUACCUUAUGAAUAAGGACCGGCUAAUUCCGUGCCAGCAGCCGCGGUAAUACGGAAGGUCCGGGCGUUAUCCGGAUUUAUUGGGUUUAAAGGGAGCGUAGGCCGGAGAUUAAGCGUGUUGUGAAAUGUAGAUGCUCAACAUCUGCACUGCAGCGCGAACUGGUUUCCUUGAGUACGCACAAAGUGGGCGGAAUUCGUGGUGUAGCGGUGAAGUGCUUAGAUAUCACGAAGAACUCCGAUUG